ACCCAUUCCUCAACAGCCACCAAACUCACCUUUGGGCCCUCAAGAUUGUCUCAAAAGUCAGGUGGAUUCACAGGAGAGGAGGGCAGUCCUGAAGGUCUUCUCGACUUUGAAUAGGGCUCAGAAAUAUGCUGGCAAUGCACUUUCGGGCUCAAGUGCCACCGUCAACAUUCCUGCAAUCUUAUUCUGAACCAGUUAUGCUACAUUCCUGAAGAGCCAGAGUGUGGAAUACCACGGACUGCAAUUAUCAUACCAGCUUAAGCUGGUCAGAGGCUCUUUGCAUCAUGGAAACUCGGACAGCCAGAGCGAGGCCCAGGCGCCGGGCCCACUGUGGAAGGGGCAGGGCAACCUCAGUCAGACCAUCAUGUCCCAGAAUCUUAAACACCUGCCAUCAGUACCCUCAAGGUAUGACAUUCACUGACCGUAUCCAGGAAAUGCAAGUCAUCUUUACUCCCUCCAAAAACCAUCACUUCACCUUCUUUACCAAGGCAGGCUGUAUGCCACAACCUAAAAACAUAUGAUAGUUAGAAUGAAUUCUCAGGUCUGCCUCUGUCUUAUCUGCAUUAGGAAAACUCUGGCCUGGACUGGAUCAUCGCAGAACACGGAAAAGCCUUUCCUGCCUUGACUCCUAGCUUGAAACCUGAGGCUUUUUCUACAGACUGACAGAGCUUAUGUCCUCUCACAGCUGCUCUAACUUAGCACCUAGACAUUCUAAUA